UCUGUUGCCAGUUCCUCUAACCAUACUUCUAUUUUGUAUAGUUGUAUCGAAUAUAAUUAUAAAAUUUACAUGAUUUGUGUAAUGGAUGAUUUAUGGUUAGCAUAUUUGCCUGAACAUACCAGAUUUGACAUGAUGCCUUUUUUCUUGCUUAUAUGUCAUCCAUCUCUAGAACAUUUCGUAUUUUUAAUUGCAAUAUAAUCACUCAAUUGUUGUCACAUAUUAUACAAAUUUUGUUUUCUUGCAUGUUGACCAAAGUAUUAUCUUCAUAAUCAUGUUAUUAUGAAAAAUUAUUUUCGGAUGAAUUACUUUUACAGUCAUUAAUCCAGGGAUUUGCUGUCAGUAAGCAGAAUCAUGCUUACUGAAUCUAGGCAGUUCAUCCAAGAAAAUGUUGAUUACCGAAUUCAGGCAGUUCAUAUGUGAAUUGGCUGCGUUUGUAGACUGAGGAUAGAUGCUGCUGCACCAAGGAGAACUCCCUGCCCAAAUUGCAUCAGUGCGUUUGAGAAGGCUCUUAAGAGUUAUGCUGACAACCCAGCUGAGGAUGUGAUCACACUAGUUCUUGGCACUACUUUCGACUUUUUGGACGAGGCUUACGACUUCUACAAUUUGUAAUUGUCCAUCCUGUCUGAUCCGUGGAUCAGGAAGUUCGCUUUUCGUGUACUGGUUGAAGAACCGAACUGAAUGCAGGACCGAGUCUUCUUGCCCAAGGCGUAGGUCAUUUGGAAGCUGAGCACUACGGGAUAGAGGCAAGGAGCACCGGCGGCGAGGCACCAUGGAGUUUCUGAUGCAGCCAAUCGACAGUUUUAGAUCUGCUCUGCUUGAGGAAGUAGGUAAGAGUUUGGUGCCGGCCCCUGUGGCUGUGAAUGGCCCUGCGGUGGCGGUUUUGAAGGUGGCGCAGCAGGGCGGAGGGCGAGGUGGCGCAGCAUCGGGCGGUGGACAGCGACGAAGCACAAAUCUUCUCGGCGAAGGAUGCGGCGGCUGAAGAUGGGAGAGCUCCCCUCCAACUUCGGAGCUAUCAACGGGGAAGCUGAAUCCCUAAGCGUCGGGGUGUAACAAGAGGCUUAGGAUUGGUGCUGCCACACGAAGCAGAACACCGUGCCCAAAUCGAAUCAGUGCGUUCGAGAAGGCAGCCAGGUGUUGUGGAGAGAACCCAGCUGAAAAUGUGAUCACACCAGUUUUUGGUACUACUUUUGACUCUCUGGGCGAAGCAUAUGAUGUGAUUUCUAUGAGGGGGAACCGAUGUGAGCUGCUAGAUUUCAUGAUCGAGGUGCUGCCAUUCUGAAGUGAGAUGAGGUGUCAGAUAUGCAUUAUAUAUGCAGUAGGUGUGCAUUUGUUGUGAAAGCAUUUCGUUGUGCGGAACAAACUAGAGAGAAAGUUUAGCUACCAUCCCCUUUGAUGUGGUGUGGCAGUGGUUUCCUGGGGUUUCCAUCGCACUGGACGGAAAUGUUAGCUGCCAUCCACUUGUUGUGGUGUGGUGUUGAUUUCCCAGGAUUUCCAGUGUUAGCCAUGGGCAUGUAUUUUGAGUAACUAAUGCGUGUUUAGGCUCGCAUCCA